UACAGAGGUCCCAAGCGUUGUUCGGAUUCACUGGGCGUAAAGGGUGCGUAGGUGGCGAGGUAAGUCGGAUGUGAAAUCCCGUGGCUCAACCACGGAAGUGCACCCGAAACUGCCCAGCUUGAGUCUCGGAGAGGAAGGCGGAAUGCUUGGUGUAGAGGUGAAAUUCGUAGAUAUCAAGCGGAACACCGGUGGCGAAGGCGGCCUUCUGGACGAUGACUGACGCUGAGACGCGAAAGCGUGGGGAGCAAACAGG
rnacentral:rRNA from 1 species